rnacentral:rRNA from 1 species
GAUGAACGCUGGCGGCGUGCCUAAUACAUGCAAGUCGAGCGAACAGACGAGGAGCUUGCUCCUCUGACGUUAGCGGCGGACGGGUGAGUAACACGUGGAUAACCUACCUAUAAGACUGGGAUAACUUCGGGAAACCGGAGCUAAUACCGGAUAAUAUAUUGAACCGCAUGGUUCAAUAGUGAAAGACGGUUUUGCUGUCACUUAUAGAUGGAUCCGCGCCGCAUUAGCUAGUUGGUAAGGUAACGGCUUACCAAGGCGACGAUGCGUAGCCGACCUGCGAGGGUGAGCGGGCCUACUGGAAUUGAGAGACGGUCCAGACUCCUACGGGAGGCCGCAGUAGGGAAUCUUGCGCAAUGGGCGAAAGCCUGACGGAGCAACGCCGCGUGAGUGAUGAAGGUCUUCUGAUCGUAAAACUCUGUUAUUAGGGAAGAACAAAUGUGUAAGUACCUAUGCACGUCUUGACGGUACCUAAUCAGAAAGCCACGGCUAACUACGUG